rnacentral:rRNA from 1 species
AAUGAACGUUGGCGGCAUGGAUUAGGCAUGCAAGUCGAGCGAGAAGUGUAGCAAUACACGGAAAGCGGCGGAAGGGAGAGUAAUACGUGGGAAUCUGCCCUUAGACCUGGGAUAGCAGCGGGAAACUGCUGGUAAUACCAGAUAAUGUCUAUGGACCAAAGGUGUGAUUCCGUCUAGGGAUGAGCCCACGUCCUAUUGGCUAGUUGGUAGGGUAAUGGCCUACCAAGGCGGUGAUGGGUAGCGGGUGUGAGAGCAUGACCCGCCUCACUGGGACUGGGACACUGCCCAGACACCUACGGGUGGCUGCAGUCGAGAAUCUUCGGCAAUGGGCGCAAGCCUGACCGAGCGAUGCCGCGUGCGGGAUGAAGGCCUUCGGGUUGUAAACCGCUGUCGAGGGGGAGCAACUUCCAUAGAGUUAUCUUUAUGGAUUGAGUGAUCCCUGGAGGAAGGACGGGCUAAGUUCGUGCCAGCCGCCGCGGUAAAAC